GCCAGCUUGGCCGAGUGGUUAAGGUACGUUUUGAUUAUCAGAACUUUGUUGCGUCUAGUACUAACAAAUAUCUAGGCGAUAGACUUAAGUUCUAUUAUCAUAUUGAUGCGCGGGUUCGAAUCCCGCAGCUGGUA